GAUGAACGCUGGCGGCGUGCCUAAUACAUGCAAGUCGAGCGAACGGACGAGAAGUUUGCUUCUCUCUCGUUAGCGGAGGACGUGUGAGUAACAUGUGGAUAACCUACCUAUAAGACUGGGAACACUUCGGGACACCGGAGCUAAUACCGUAUAAUAUCUUGAACCGCGUGGUUCAAAAGUGAAAGUCGGUCUUGCUGUCUCUUAUAGCUGCAUACGCGCUGCAUUAGCUGGUAGUUAAGGUAACGGGUUACCAAGGCAACGAUGCAUAGCCGACAGGAGAGGGUGGUCGGCCACACGGGAAGUGAGACGCGGUCCAGACUCCUACGGGAGGCAGCAGUAGGGAAGCGGCCGCAACAGGCGAAAGCAUGACGGAGCAACCCCGCGUGAGAGAUAAAGGUCUACGGAUCGUAAAACCCGGUUAUGAGUGAAGAACAGAUUUGGAAGUAACUGUACACAGCUUGACGGUACCUAGUCAAAAAGCAACGGCUAACUACGUG
rnacentral:rRNA from 1 species